rnacentral:rRNA from 1 species
CUACGUGCCAGCAGCCGCGGUAAUACGUAGGGGGCAAGCGUUAUCCGGAUUCAUUGGGCGUAAAGCGCUCGUAGGCGGUCUGUUAGGUCGGGAGUUAAAUCCGGGGGCUCAACCCCCGUUCGCUCCCGAUACCGGCAGACUUGAGUUUGGUAGGGGAAGGUGGAAUUCCUAGUGUAGCGGUGGAAUGCGCAGAUAUUAGGAAGAACACCAGUGGCGAAGGCGGCCUUCUGGGCCAUAACUGACGCUGAGGAGCGAAAGCUAGGGGAGCAAACAGGAUUAGAUACCCUGGUAGUCCUAGCCGUAAACGAUGGACACUAGGUGUGGGGGAAUAUUUCUUCCGUGCCGCAGCUAACGCAUUAAGUGUCCCGCCUGGGGAGUACGGCCGCAAGGCUAAAACUCAAAGGAAUUGACGGGGACCCGCACAAGCGGUGGAUGAUGUGGAUUAAUUCGAUGCAACGCGAAGAACCUUACAUGGUCUUGACAU